rnacentral:rRNA from 1 species
UUGAAUUGAAGAGUUUGAUCAUGGCUCAGAUUGAACGCUGGCGGCAGGCUUAACACAUGCAAGUCGAACGGUAGCAGGAGAAAGCUUGCUUUCUUGCUGACGAGUGGCGGACGGGUGAGUAAUGCUUGGGAAUCUGGCUUAUGGAGGGGGAUAACUACGGGAAACUGUAGCUAAUACCGCGUAGUGUCGAGAGACGAAAGUGCGGGACCGCAAGGCCGCAUGCCAUGAGAUGAGCCCAAGUGGGAUUAGGUAGUUGGUGGGGUAAAGGCCUACCAAGCCUGCGAUCUCUAGCUGGUCUGAGAGGAUGACCAGCCACACUGGAACUGAGACACGGUCCAGACUCCUACGGGAGGCAGCAGUGGGGAAUAUUGCGCAAUGGGGGGAACCCUGACGCAGCCAUGCCGCGUGAAUGAAGAAGGCCUUCGGGUUGUAAAGUUCUUUCGGUAUUGAGGAAGGAGUGUAUGUUAAUAGCAUGCAUUAUUGACGUUAAAUACAGAAGAAGCACCGGCUAACUCCGUGCCAGCAGCCGCGGUAAUACGGAG